rnacentral:rRNA from 1 species
GAUGAACGCUGGCGGCGUGCCUAAUACAUGCAAGUCGAGCGAACAGACGAGGAGCUUGCUCCUCUGACGUUAGCGGCGGACGGGUGAGUAACACGUGGAUAACCUACCUAUAAGACUGGGAUAACUUCGGGAAACCGGAGCUAAUACCGGAUAAUAUAUUGAACCGCAUGGUUCAAUAGUGAAAGACGGUUUUGCUGUCCCUUAUAGAUGGAUCCGCGCCGCAUUAGCUAGUUGGUAAGGUAACGGCUUACCAAGGCAACGAUGCGUAGCCGACCGGAGAGGGUGAUCGGCCACACUGGAACUGAGACACGGUCCAGACUCCUACGGGAGGCAGCAGUAGGGAAUCUUCCGCAAUGGGCGAAAGCCUGACGGAGCAACGCCGCGUGGGUGAUGAAGGUCUUCGGAUCGUAAAACUCUGUUAUUAGGGAAGAACAAAUGUGUAAGUAACUAUGCACGUCUUGACGGUACCUAAUCAGAAAGCCACGGCUAACUACGUG